rnacentral:rRNA from 1 species
GGUGAAGCCCAGCUUGCUGGGUGGAUCAGUGGCGAACGGGUGAGAACACGUGAGCAACCUGCCCCUGACUCUGGGAUAAGCGCUGGAAACGGCGUCUAAUACUGGAUACGAGACGUGAUCGCAUGGUCAACGUUUGGAAAGAUUUUUCGGUUGGGGAUGGGCUCGCGGCCUAUCAGCUUGUUGGUGAGGUAAUGGCUCACCAAGGCGUYGACGGGUAGCCGGCCUGAGAGGGUGACCGGCCACACUGGGACUGAGACACGGCCCAGAYUCCUACGGGAGGCAGCAGUGGGGAAUAUUGCACAAUGGGCGCAAGCCUGAUGCAGCAACGCCGCGUGAGGGAUGACGGCCUUCGGGUUGUAAACCUCUUUUAGCAGGGAAGAAGCGAGAGUGACGGUACCUGCAGAAAAAGCACCGGCUAACUACGUGCCAGCAGCCGCGGUAAUACGUAGGGUGCAAGCGUUAUCCGGAAUUAUUGGGCGUAAAGAGCUCGUAGGCGGUUUGUCGCGUCUGCUGUGAAAUCUGGGGGCUCAACCCCCAGCCUGCAGUGGGUACGGGCAGACUAGAGUGCGGUAGGGGAGAUUGGAAUUCCUGGUGUAGCGGUGGAAUGCGCAGAUAUCAGGAGGAACACCGAUGGCGAAGGCAGAUCUCUGGGCCGUAACUGACGCUGAGGAGCGAAAGGGUGGGGAGCAAACAGGCUUAGAUACCCUGGUAGUCCACCCCGUAAACGUUGGGAACUAGUUGUGGGGUCCAUUCCACGGAUUCCGUGACGCAGCUAACGCAUUAAGUUCCCCGCCUGGGGAGUACGGCCGCAAGGCUAAAACUCAAAGGAAUUGACGGGGACCCGCACAAGCGGCGGAGCAUGCGGAUUAAUUCGAUGCAACGCGAAGAACCUUACCAAGGCUUGACAUAUACGAGAACGGGCCAGAAAUGGUCAACUCUUUGGACACUCGUAAACAGGUGGUGCAUGGUUGUCGUCAGCUCGUGUCGUGAGAUGUUGGGUUAAGUCCCGCAACGAGCGCAACCCUCGUUCUAUGUUGCCAGCACGUAAUGGUGGGAACUCAUGGGAUACUGCCGGGGUCAACUCGRAGGAAGGUGGGGAUGACGUCAAAUCAUCAUGCCCCUUAUGUCUKGGGCUUCACGCAUGCUACAAUGGCCGGUMCAAUGGGCUGCAAUACCGUGAGGUGGAGCGAAUCCCAAAAAGCCGGUCCCAGUUCGGAUUGAGGUCUGCAACUCGACCUCAUGAAGUCGGAGUCGCUAGUAAUCGCAGAUCAGCAACGCUGCGGUGAAUACGUUCCCGGGUCUUGUACACACCGCCCGUCAAGUCAUGAAAGUCGGUAACACCUGAAGCCGGUGGCCUAACCCCUCGGGGAGGGAGCUUCGAAGG